GACGAACGCUGGCGGCGUGCUUAACACAUGCAAGUCGAACGGAAAGGCCCUGCUUUUGUGGGGUGCUCGAGUGGCGAACGGGUGAGUAACACGUGAGUAACCUGCCCUUGACUUUGGGAUAACUUCAGGAAACUGGGGCUAAUACCGGAUAGGAGCUCCUGCUGCAUGGUGGGGGUUGGAAAGAUUCGGCGGUUGGGGAUGGACUCGCGGCUUAUCAGCUUGUUGGUGGGGUAGUGGCUUACCAAGGCUUUGACGGGUAGCCGGCCUGAGAGGGUGGCCGGCCACAAUGGGACUGAGAGACGCACCAGAAUGCUACGGGAGGCAACAGGGGGAAGUAUUACACAGUGGGCGGGAGCCUGAUACAACAGCGCCGCGUGCGGGAUGACGUGCUUCGGGUUAUGAACCGCUUUCGCCUGUGACGAAGCGUGAGUGACGGUAAUGGGUAAAGAAGCACCGGCUAACUACGUG
rnacentral:rRNA from 1 species